GUAAUAGUAGGUUAAAAUAAACUUUUAGUUGGUGGAGCUAUAUAUUUUUUUUUUUUAAAAAAAAAAAAAAAACUAUUAUA
rnacentral:tRNA from 1 species